UACGUAGGGGGCAAGCGUUGUCCGGAAUCAUUGGGCGUAAAGAGCGUGUAGGCGGUUCGGUAAGUCGGCUGUGAAAGUCCAGGGCUCAACCCUGGGAUGCCGGUCGAUACUGCCGGACUAGAGUUCGGAAGAGGCGAGUGGAAUUCCCGGUGUAGCGGUGAAAUGCGCAGAUAUCGGGAGGAACACCUAUGGCGAAGGCAGCUCGCUGGGACGUUACUGACACUGAGGCGCGAAAGCGUGGGGAGCGAACAGG
rnacentral:rRNA from 1 species